AGGUACCGUUUGAAAUUUUAAUUUAUGAUUUAUAUGUAGCUUGAACUGCAUACAUUGUGUAUUCUGUCAUGUCGUACUUGCAAAAAAACCUCAGAGAACUUUCCAUGCUUUCUUCUUCCAUUAUUGCUGAUAGCAAGUUUAACUUUGUUAGAGUCUUGUAUUGGGGUAUUGGGUUUCCCUCUGUUGCUUCAAACCCUAGAUUUUAUGGAAAUAAAAAGGCUCCCCAAACGGAAGAAUAUGAAAAUUCUGGUGGAAUGUUGAAUAUGGGUAGUAGAAACGGUCAUCGGGUUUCUCGGGCCACUAUUAAGGAAGCUCAGGCUGCGUUGUUUGAGUAUUUACAUUCUACUCGAGGGAUUGAAUUUUUAGAUGCUGAGAAUAUGAGUAAAAAUUCCCCAAUCUUUCUUAAAAAACUUCUAGGAAGAGUUGAACAUAAGGGUGAUAUUGGUCGGUCAGUUAUGCGAUUUUUACGAUACAAUCCGAUUAAUGAGUUCGAGCCUUUCUUUGAGAGUGUGGGCUUGCAACCUGCCGAGUAUAAUGCGUUUCUUCCACGCAAUUUGAUGUUCUUGAGUGAUGAUGAUUUAUUGCUUGAGAACUUUCAUGUGUUGUGUAACUAUGGAAUUGAACGAAAUAAGACAGGGAAGAUAUAUAAGGAGGCAACUCAGAUAUUUCGGUAUGACUAUGGUGUUUUGUUCUCGAAGUUAAGAGCAUAUGAAAAACUUGGUCUCAGCCAAGAUACUGUCGUUAAAUAUGUUGUUUGUUCCCCCUAUCUAUUGAUUGGUGGUGUUAAUGAUCGGUUUGUCAAGGUAUUAGAAAAAUUGAAGAACAUUGGAUUUGAAUCAAGCUGGGUUGAAGAACAACUGACGGAUGGUAAUUCCUAUAAUUGGAAGCAAAUUCUUGGGUCGUUUUUCUGGUUUGAACAGAUGGGUUGCGGUAAGGAGAAGUUGGCUGAUUUAAUCAGCCAACAUCCGGAUCUUUUAUUUGAGGAUUCAGGAAGCAAAUCACUUUCCUUAAUUGGGUUGUUACUGAAAAUGGGAUGCUCAAAGAUCCAGAUAUGUUCCGUGUUCUUGCAAUUUCCUCAAAUCCGAGUUGGUAAGUUUGUUUCAAAUAUGAGGCAAUGCUUUUUGGUCUUCAAUGAAAUAAACAUGGGUGUGCAAGAGAUAGGAUACCUGUUCAGAUCUCAUCCCUUGUUAUUGGGAUUGUAUACUUUGAAAAGCACCAAGAGCUUGUACAAAUUUUUGAAAGCUGGGAACAAACGGAUUUGUCAAUUUAUUUUAGAGAAUCCGGAAGAAUUAAAGAACUGGAAGCACGGAACAAGAAUUCUUCCAUUACCAGACUCUGAGGACAGAUCGGUUAUGGGAUCAAAGCAACAGAAGCCUCAGUUUUUGUUGAAAUUAGGACUGGAAGGAAACUCAGCGAAGAUGAAAGAAGCGUUAAAGGUGUUUGGAGGUAAGGCAAUGGACCUCCAAGAGCGGUUUGAUUGUAUUGUGGAAGCUGGUAUUGAUGAGAAGGAUGUUUACAAAAUGAUUAAAGUUUAUCCACGUAUCAUUAACCUAAGUAAAGAUUCAAUAGAAGAAAAGAUAGAUUUUUUUGUAAAUAAUUUGGGGUAUCCUGUUUCAUCAUUAAUAAGCUUCCCUAAAUAUCUUGGCUAUUCAACUAAAUUGGUUAUUCUUAGGUUCUCAAUGUACAAUUGGCUCAAGGAACAAGGAACAGCCAAUCCGAUGUCAGCAUUGAAAACUAUUAUUUCCUGUUCGGAAUAUGAAUUUCUAAGACAUCAUGUGAAUCGUCAUCCCAGAGGCAUGGAAGUCUGGGAGAAUUUGAAGAGAGAGAUAUAUUCAGAUUCUAUGCCGUCUCCAGCUCAUUAGAUCAAAUUUUGUUCACAUAUCCUUUAUAGCAAACGAUAGCCAAUUGCUUCAUAGCUGUUCUACUACAAGUUUUUCAAUAAGUCAUGCAAUUCAGGGCUAAUCUGCUGUGAAGUUUAUGGAAAACUGUCUCAUUUUCACAAAGUUUUGGUGGUCUUCUUGGGGCAGUGUAACACAUGGUUUUGCACAUUGCUCACAGUGUAUUCAAGCUUCUUUUAACUUAGUAUUUACAAAUCCAGGAAAGUUGGGCAUUCUUUUGCAGAGGAAAGCCUAGGGAAAGAGAUCAGACCCAGAGAAUACACCCGACACCUCUCCUAAUUUCAGUGUUAAAGGAAGAAAGCCUAGGGAAAGAGAUAAUGAUAACUUCUCUUUCUUGUUGCAAAGAUACGGAAUAACUAUAGAAAGAGAGAAUUAUAUCUCAUUCUCUCAAUGAUCAAGUCUGUGAUUGCAAUUGUUUUUAGAUUUACGGUAGUUUUUCUAUUUAUGCAUGGCGAGCAUAUUAUUGAUGUCUACGUUUCUAAAUGAUGUCGAUAAACACAUUCUGUAUAUGUCGUAGUUUGUAACUAUUUAUUUAACAAGCAAAAUUUGAGCUUUCUGGAUAUGUUUACUUAGAGGAAGGAUACAUCUAGAGAUUGAUAUCUUGCAAUUGCAAGCCUUGUUUGUAUAUACGUUGUGGCAAUAUUUUUCAUUUUCCGAUAAACCCAUUCAGUUUGGUCA